UACGAAGGGGGCUAGCGUUGCUCGGAAUCACUGGGCGUAAAGGGUGCGUAGGCGGGUCUUUAAGUCAGGGGUGAAAUCCUGGAGCUCAACUCCAGAACUGCCUUUGAUACUGAAGAUCUUGAGUUCGGGAGAGGUGAGUGGAACUGCGAGUGUAGAGGUGAAAUUCGUAGAUAUUCGGAAGAACACCAGUGGCGAAGGCGGCUCACUGGACCGGCAUUGACGCUGAGGUGCGAAAGCGUGGGGAGCAAACAGG
rnacentral:rRNA from 1 species